rnacentral:tRNA from 1 species
UGUUAGGCAGCAUAAAAUUUUGCAUUGGGCUGUAAACCUGAAGGUUGGGUGUUACCCUCUAACAA